CUGCGGUGCAUGACAUCGAACAGACCUAUUCAUUGGAGACAGUGGCUUCCUUCCGCUGAAUGGUGGUACAACACGAAUUUUCACAUUGGACUGCAGAGUACUCCAUUUGAGGCUCUUUAUGGUUAUUCACCACUACAACUAUCCGUCGGACCCCUGCUUGAGACUAUUGUUCCUACUAUUGCUCCUACUGCUGAAGAUGUUAUGCAAAGACAACAGAUGGUACCGCUUUUGAAAGACAACCUCCACAAGAAAGGAUGAAGUUGUAUGCAAAUAAAAGGAUUACUCGUGAGCUCUCUAUCUUUUCCAGUGUUAUCAAAGGCGCGCUUUAAGCGCGCUUAAGCCCUAAAGUGAAACUCAAAACGUGUUGAGCGCUUCGCCUCGCUUUAUGUGCGCUUCAGUGUCGUCAUCAAGGUUCUAAGACAUACAUAUUCUUGCCAAUGAACCUCUUUAGAAGAGGCGAUACUAAACAAUUGAUAUUUCACUUUAUCAUUAAAAAACAUUUUCUUUGUCCAUA
rnacentral:misc_RNA from 1 species